rnacentral:rRNA from 1 species
UACGAAGGGGGCUAGCGUUGUUCGGAAUUACUGGGCGUAAAGCGUGCGCAGGCGGCUUCUCAAGUCAGGGGUGAAAGCCCAGAGCUCAACUCUGGAAUUGCCUUUGAGACUGAGUGGCUUGAGUACGAGAGAGGUGAGUGGAAUUCCCAGUGUAGAGGUGAAAUUCGUAGAUAUCGGGAGGAACACCGGUGGCGAAGGCGGCGACCUGGGUAGAUACUGACGCUGAGGUGCGAAAGCGUGGGGAGCGAACAGG